GGACGAACGCUGGCGGCGUGCCUAAUACAUGCAAGUCGAACGGACGAUGGGGCUUCGGCCCCAAAGUUAGUGGCGAACGGGUGAGUAACGCGUGAGCAACCUGACUCAAAGAGGGGGACAACAGCUGGAAACGGCUGCUAAUACCGCAUAAGACCACAGCGCGGCAUCGCAAAGGGGUCAAAGAAUUAUCGCUUUGAGAGGGGCUCGCGUCCCAUUAGAUAGUUGGUGAGGUAACGGCCCACCAAGUCCGCGAUGGGUAGCCGAGCUGAGAGGCUGAUCGGCCACACUGGAACUGAGACACGGUCCAGACUCCUACGGGAGGCAGCAGUAGGGAAUAUUGGGCAAUGGGCGCAAGCCUGAACCCCAGCAACGCCGCGUGAGGGAAGAAGGUUUUCGGAUUGUAAACCUCUGUCCUAUGUGACGAAGGAAGUGACGGUAGCAUAGGAGGAAGCCCCGGCUAACUACGUGCCAGCCGCUGC
rnacentral:rRNA from 1 species